CUGGCUCAGGAUGAACGCUAGCUACAGGCUUAACACAUGCAAGUCGAGGGGCAGCAUGUGGUGCUGCAACCAAUGAUGGCGACCGGCGCACGGGUGAGUAACGCGUAUCCAACCUUCCCCUUAGUAGAGGAUAGCCCGGCGAAAGUCGGAUUAAUACUCUAUGUUCUUCAAUGCGGACAUCUAAGUUGAAGCAAAGAUUUAUCGCUAAGGGAUGGGGAUGCGUCUGAUUAGGUUGCAGGCGGGGUAACGGCCCACCUGGCCUACGAUCAGUAGGGGUUCUGAGAGGAAGGUCCCCCACACUGGUACUGAGACACGGACCAGACUCCUACGGGAGGCAGCAGUGAGGAAUACUGGUCAAUGGGCGCGAGCCUGAACCAGCCAAGUAGCGUGCCAGGACGACUGCCCUAUGGGUUGUAAACUGCUUUUAUCAGGGAAUAAAGUGAGGCACGCGUGCCUUUUUGUAUGUACCUGAUGAAUAAGGACCGGCUAAUUCCGUGCCAGCCGCCGC
rnacentral:rRNA from 1 species